UUAGCCCAGGAAACCGCAGAGCCCUCUAGGGCCCCGCUAGCCUUUCAGCGUCUCUCACCCUUGGUCCCGCCCAACACGGCACCCACCGGGUCACGGGAGGACAAGCGACCCAAGCCUGGGGGGCGGUGCUGGCCUUGGUGACGUCUCAAUGUCAUAUGCAAAUAGUGCGACGUCAAGGUCUACCGGCGCGCGGCAACCAAUAGGGAGCCCGGAACGCAGCCCCAGCGGCCGGCCGUGGAGAUAGACAAAGGCCCCGACACAGGGGGCGCAGGGCGUGUCCCCGGGCUCAGGGAGCCCCGGGGCCCAAGCUGGCGGGGACUCACCUGGGACCCGGAGCGACGCGGCAGGCGGGGUGAUGCUGAGCUGAUCGUGACAUCACAAAGGGGCCCGCCCGCCGCGCGUCACUGGCCGCCGAAGAGGUAUCCAAUCCCAGGCUGCGGAUUCCCCACUCCCCGCCCCUCCAUGGUUUGUUGGCUAGUGACUCCAGUUCAGAAGCCGCACUUAGAGCCUCCGGGUGCCACCUGGAGAGGCGAAUGCCAGAGGGUUAAAUCUCUACUCCCGGCCACUUGCAGACCUCUCAAUGAAGGCGAUCCCCAUUCCUUCCUGGGGAAUCCUCCUCUCCCCGCUUUCUCCCAGCGCAUUUACCCCUCCCACUGCUCCUGUAUCCUUUCUCCUGCAUACUAUGCCCAAUUUCCCUGAUCUGUGUGUAUCUCGUUUCUACACAUUGUCUAUUUUCCCACCCCAUUUUUCCUCAGCUCUCUCCCCGGUUCAGGGGGGAGCACCAGCAAGUGAGGGGAAGUUGGUGAAGCUGACGUGAACUUCUGCAAAGAGUCGGACUUGGAGAGGAAUUGCUCUGGGCUGAAUAAACAUUGAGCUAGUACCGCUCUGUCCUGGAAA
rnacentral:lncRNA from 1 species